rnacentral:rRNA from 1 species
CCUACGGGUGGCAGCAGUGGGGAAUCUUGGACAAUGGGGGAAACCCUGAUCCAGCCAUGCCGCGUGGGUGAUGAAGGCCUUAGGGUUGUAAAGCCCUUUCGGCGGGGACGAUGAUGACGGUACCCGCAGAAGAAGCCCCGGCUAACUCCGUGCCAGCAGCCGCGGUAAUACGGAGGGGGCAAGCGUUGUUCGGAAUUACUGGGCGUAAAGGGCGCGUAGGCGGCCGGUUGCGUCGGAUGUGAAAGCCCUGGGCUCAACCCGGGAAUGGCAUUCGAUACGGGCUGGCUUGAAGUCGGAAGAGGAGAGUGGAAUUCCCAGUGUAGAGGUGAAAUUCGUAGAUAUUGGGAAGAACACCGAUGGCGAAGGCAGCUCUCUGGUCCGACCUUGACGCUGAGGCGCGACAGCGUGGGGAGCAAACAGGAUUAGAUACCCCUGUAGUC